rnacentral:tRNA from 2 species
UGGGGUAUCGCCAAGCGGUAAGGCAAUGGUUUUUGGUACCAUCAUUCGAAGGUUCGAAUCCUUCUACCCCAUCCA